CUUUUUAUUCUUUAAUAUUUGUGUACUUCUUGCGUCUUGUUGUUAUAAAUUUUUUCUGCGGAGUACGUUACACAAUGAAACUGUAAAAAUGCAAUGAGUUAUUUCAUUGCCUGGAAGAAUACAAACUACAAAGUACAGCUCUGUCAUAGUACAAAGAUAAAUACAGCGUAUUGAUGAUAGUGCUCUGCCUAUGCUUCUUGUAACCGAUAGGUACAAGAAGUGCCGUGAUGUGAAGGGCAAAGUACCAGUGCGCAUCAGCGACUGCCAAUUUAAAUGGUCAAGGCCUCGUGAAGUGUGUUAUGACAUGUAAGAUCCUCAGCACAGGAAGACGACGUACAUACUGUACAAGUUUGGAAGACUGACACGAUAUAUGUGGAUAUUUCAACGAAAGAACCAUAAAUGAUGCAGAAAUGAGUCAUAGCACAGUGGAUUCUGCAGCAGGAGCUGCCGCUGUUCUGAGGGAGGAGUUAGCAUCUGCAGUCAAUAGGCAGCAGCAACAUCCACCUGCUGCUUCCGCUGCUGGCGCUUCUUCUGAAGUUCACCACAUGGCAGAUGUUGCGGGUCCUGCUGCAGAACUGAGUGGAACAGAGAUGAUCAUAGCAAGUCUCCUAGCAGGGGCAACGGCUGGAGCAGCUGCUAAAACAACAAUAGCACCACUUGAUAGGACCAAAAUUAAUUUCCAGAUAUCUGAGAAGCCAUAUUCAGUCAAAGAGGCUAUAAAGUUCUUGAAACAAACUUACAAGAAUGAGGGAGCACUCAGUUUAUGGCGUGGAAAUUCUGCCACUAUGGCCCGAAUAGUACCUUAUGCUGCAAUCCAGUUUACUGCACAUGAACAAUGGAAAAAACUACUUAAAAUAGAUGUUGACAAGGACAAAAAACCUCCACCAGUAAUGAGGCUGCUAGCUGGAUCACUAGCAGGUGUAACAUCUCAGUCCUUGACCUAUCCACUUGAUCUGGCUAGAGCACGUAUGGCUGUAACGCACAAGGAACAAUAUCGCACUUUAAGGCAGGUGUUUGUCAAGAUUUGGACUGAAGAAGGCCCAAGGACAUUUUAUCGUGGUUAUGUGCCAACAAUAAUGGGAGUCAUCCCAUAUGCUGGUGUGAGUUUCUUCACGUAUGAUUCCUUAAAAAGGAAAUACAUGGAGUAUACAGGCAGCUCCAGUCCUAAUGCCAUAGCAAGCUUGUUGUUUGGUGCAGUUGCUGGAAUGCUGGGUCAGUCGUCGUCAUAUCCACUCGACAUUGUUCGGAGAAGAAUGCAGACGUCUUCAUUAACUAAUACUCAGUAUCAAACAAUUUUGGGAACACUCCAAAAAAUAUACAGGGAAGAGGGAAUACGCCAGGGUUUUUUCAAGGGGCUAAGUAUGAACUGGAUCAAAGGACCUGUUGCCGUAGGAAUAAGUUUUGCUACCUACGAUUCAGCAAAGGAUUUUCUGAAGCAAUUAUUGCUAAUUAGACAUAGAUGAAACAUUAAAACUUGGAUGACAAGCAGUGUGUAUAAGUAAACUGAUUGGCAGGCCAUCCGUAAACACCUUGUGGGGGAAUAUGUGACCUACAUGCAGUACAUUGCUGAUCCCUGUGUUAAGAUGCUGUGUUGAGGCCUGAAUAUUUUUACAGCUGAAAACACAUAGAUAGCAAAUAUUGCUCUAUGCUGGUUCAUAACAGACUAAAACUGUGCAUGAAAAUGUUUGAUAUGCUUCUGACAAUUUUUUAUUGCUGCAUACAAAGGUCACAAAACACAAGCACACUAGUCUUGAGAGUUGUGCCAUUAUAAGAUAAAUUAUGAAGGGAGAAAAUGCUGGGAGUUUCAGAAAUGUUAAUAGCCGUGGAACUAACAUGCUCUGAAAUCGUGCUUACAGUAUCAUUCAUGGGAAUAUAAUCAAACUAAAACAUAAAAGUAAUUGAAAGUGACAGUUUCCAUUGUCCCAAAGUAUUUCUAUCAACUUGCUGUGAAGGUGAAGGAAAUUGUAUGUGUCAGUGCCUGAAACAAACCAAAUGUAUAUUAUUGUUAUAGUAUUUUGUAUAUUAAUUUUGUUGAUUUUUAUAAAAGUCUACUGUUAAAAUGUCAAUUAAACUGAAUGUCUAAUGCAGAAAAAAGAUCCCACAAAGUUGUGUAUGUAACUUGUCA